UCCGAGUUAACCCCGGCAGUCUCCCGCGAGUCCCCAACACUACUUGCUGGCAACACGGGAUAAGGGUUGCGCUCGUUGCGGGACUUAACCCAACAUCUCACGACACGAGCUGACGACAGUCAUGCACCACCUGUGCACGGCCCUUGCGGACCCGACAUCUCUGCCGGAUUUCCGUGCAUGUCAAGCCCAGGUAAGGUUCUUCGCGUUGCAUCGAAUUAAUCCGCAUGCUCCGCCGCUUGUGCGGGCCCCCGUCAAUUCCUUUGAGUUUUAAUCUUGCGACCGUACUCCCCAGGCGGUGUGCUUAACGCUUUCGCUUGGCCGCUGCACCAUAUAGGCAUAACAGCGAGUGAUCAUCGUUUACGGCGCGGACUAC
rnacentral:misc_RNA from 1 species